rnacentral:rRNA from 1 species
GACGAACGCUGGCGGCGUGCCUAAUACAUGCAAGUAGAACGCAGUUGCGAACGGGUGAGUAACGCGUAGGUAACCUGCCUUAUAGCGGGGGAUAACUAUUGGAAACGCUAGCUAAUACCGCAUACUUUGAGCUGGACCUGCGUUGUAUUCGGUAGUUGGUGAGGUAAAGGCUCACCAAGGCGACGAUACAUAGCCGACCUGGGAGGGGGAUCGGCCACACUGGGACGGAGACAAGGCCCCGACCCCUACGGGAGGGCGCAGGAGGGAAACUUCGGAAAAGGACGGAAGUCUUACCAAGCAACGGCGGGGUAGUGAAGGGGGUUUUCGGAUCGGAAAACUCUGUUGGUAGGGGAGCGGUAACUAACCAGAAAGGGACGGCUAACUACGUGCCAGCAGCCGCGGUAAUUC